rnacentral:rRNA from 1 species
UAUGGCGACCGGCGCACGGGUGAGUAACACGUAUCCAACCUGCCGAUGCUCGGGGGAUAGCCUUUCGAAAGAAAGAUUAAUACCCGAUGGCAUAGUUCUUCCGCAUGGUAGAACUAUUAAAGAAUUUCGGUCAUCGAUGGGGAUGCGUUCCAUUAGGUUGUUGGCGGGGUAACGGCCCACCAAGCCUUCGAUGGAUAGGGGUUCUGAGAGGAAGGUCCCCCACAUUGGAACUGAGACACGGUCCAA